rnacentral:rRNA from 1 species
UGGUGGGUUGCCUUGUCAGGUUGAUUCCGGUAACGAACGAGACCUCAGCCUGCUAAAUAGUUUUGGUUGCGGUUUCACCCCAGCCUCGAUAACUUCUUAGAGGGACUCUCGGCGACUAGCCGAGGGAAGCUUGAGGCAAUAACA